rnacentral:sRNA from 1 species
UCUGCAGAAGAGGUCUAGCAUAGCUAAUGACAGUGCAGAUUUCCUCCAUGUUACCCUGCCAAUGUGCCUCACCACUGAACCAGAGGGAACACCUCUAGAGA